rnacentral:lncRNA from 1 species
ACAGGAAGGGGACAUCAGUGCUCAGAGGGGCACGAGAAUUCAUAGAAAAGCUGAGGGAGCUGAGGUUAUUACAAAAUCUCAACUCUGGUUCCCUGUGCCUGAGAAAAACGGCCUAAACAAAGCACAGGUGAGGGUUUGUGGUGGCCUCCCGUCUGGGGAUCCAAGGCAUUCUGCCUCCUUGGAAGUUCUUGGCCUCUCGGCACUCCCAGUCGAUGGAGGUGUUGUCAGUGGACAAAGAUGAACAUUCCAGAAGAAAAGGCUUGAAACCAGCAGGCAUCAGAGAGAGCUCACAGCUGCUAAGAAGCUGGAGGCAUCCGGGCUGGUCUCUGCCCACCCCCACAACUGUUAGGCCACAGAUGCGGCAGGCAGGGCUGAGCAGCCCGGGUGGGGAGAAAGGGCAGAAGAGGAUUAUGGGAGGUCCCCGGGGAAACCUCAGGCAGAUUGAGGACGUUGCCCCCCACCAGCCCCCUCUCCAGGCUCAGAGGCGGUCAGAGUAGAGGCACACAGUGCUUGUCUGGGGCAGGUGGGCUUUAGCGCACACACUUUCAGGCCUUCAUUAAGAUUCAUCCUCCCCCGUGACCUGUCUCCUGGGUCCUGACCUGCAGCCCAGGGGUAGGGGGGGUUCCCCUUCUGUGGGGCUGCCCCAAGGCCCUUGCUGAGAGGCUAGGCACACCAGGCCUGUGUUAAGACUUGCCAAACUGCACCAGGAUCGCAGUAUCCAUUGUGGGAGGCGGAGAUUUUGCCCAGAUAAUUCUCUCUCCUUUCCAGCCCCAAUCCUAGCCCUGGCCUGGAGCCUUCCAGCCCCUACAGGCUGGGGUAGGAGAUGGGAUGGGUGGUACUGCCUGAAGGCAGAGAGGCCUACAGGUUGGUCCCCAGACCCCUAACGCCCUCGUGGUCCCUGGCUUGGGAAAGCCACGUAUGAAUAAACAUAGCUCAAUGAUACCAUCCAA